rnacentral:rRNA from 1 species
GACGUAGGGCGCGAGCGUUGUCCGGAUUUAUUGGGCGUAAAGAGCUCGUAGGCGGCUUGUUGCGUCGGCUGUGAAAUCCCGUGGCUUAACUGUGGGCGUGCGGGCGAUACGGGCAGACUUGAGUACUGCAGGGGAGACUGGAAUUCCUGGUGUAGCGGUGGAAUGCGCAGAUAUCAGGAGGAACACCGGUGGCGAAGGCGGGUCUCUGGGCAGUAACUGACGCUGAGGAGCGAAAGCGUGGGGAGCGAACAGG